rnacentral:rRNA from 1 species
CAAAACAUAGCCUUUAGCAACCAAAGUAUUAAAGGUGACGCCUGCCCAGUGACAUAUUAAACGGCCGCGGGAUCCUCCACCGUGCAAAGGUAGCAUAAUCACUUGUCCCCUAAAUAGCGACUAGUAUGAAUGGCCAAAUGAAGAUUUCCCUGUCUCUUGCAGAUAAUCUAUGAAACUGAUCUUUCAGUACAAAAGCUGAAAUAAAAACACAAGACGAAAAGACCCUGUGGAACUUUAUAAGCGAAACCCACACAUAUGGUAAAUCCCUUUUAGUUGGGGCAACUAUGGAAAUAAACAAAACUUCCAAUAUUAUGCCAAGGUAGACGCACCUAAGCACCAUGUAAACGACCCAGUAUGACUGAUAAAAGAAACAAGCUACCCCAGGGAUAACAGCGCCAUCCCCUCUUAGAGUCCCCAUCGAUGAGCGGGGCUUACGACCUCGAUGUUGGAUCAGGGCCCCCAAACAGUGCAGCAGCUGUUAACGGUUUGUUUGUUCAACAAUUAAUGCCCUACGUGAUCUGAGUUAAGACCGGAGCAAUCCAGGU